rnacentral:lncRNA from 1 species
GGGGGGGGGCUAGGAUGAAAAAUUUUGUCCUGCAUUUUUUUAAGCUGUAAUCUCUGUCAUGCCUUUUUAUUUUUCACUCUGUUCGGUCCUGCAUUUUUUUUUAGUUUAUCCAGACUUUUUUUUACCUAAAUUGUCGGCCUGACUUUUUUUUUGCAAGUGUCUCAUCCUGCCGGUUUUUUUUUACUCAAAACUUCUGUCCUGCCUAUUUUUUCAAAUUUCAUCCUAGCCCUCCUAUAAAAAUCAAAUGGUAGCUCCCUUACAUUUCUGAACACGAGGCAUCGAAUUUAACUUUCCCAUUCGAACCGGACAUGACUGCGAACUUGAAAACCGCACAGUCAAACGUACACCCCUAUUCGGCAAGCGUUCAAAUGCCGGUCGGGAGAAGACCAAGUGACCAUACUACGUUAACCCUGUCACCCUUGACCAAGAA